UACAGAGGGGGCAAGCGUUAUUCGGAAUUAUUGGGCGUAAAGGGCGCGUAGGCGGCUUUGCAAGUGACGGGUGAAAGCCCUCGGCUUAACCGAGGAACUGCCUGUCAGACUGUAAGGCUUGAGACCGGGAGAGGUGAGUGGAAUUCCGGGUGUAGCGGUGAAAUGCGUAGAUAUCCGGAGGAACACCGGUGGCGAAGGCGGCUUCCUGGACCGACACUGACGCUGAGGCGCGAAAGCUAGGGGAGCAAACGGG
rnacentral:rRNA from 1 species